UGCAAGUCUACUUGAACUUCGGUUUGGGUGGCGGACGGGUGAGUAACGCGUAAAGAACUUGCCUCACAGUUAGGGACAACAUUUGGAAACGAAUGCUAAUACCUGAUAUUAUGAUUUUAGGGCAUCCUAAGAUUAUGAAAGUUAUAUACGCUGUGAGAGAGCUUUGCGUCCCAUUAGCUAGUUGGAGAGGUAACGGCUCACCAAGGCGAUGAUGGGUAGCCGGCCUGAGAGGGUGAACGGCCACAAGGGGACUGAGACACGGCCCUUACUCCUACGGGAGGCAGCAGUGGGGAAUAUUGGACAAUGGACCAAAAGUCUGAUCCAGCAAUUCUGUGUGCACGAUGACGUUUUUCGGAAUGUAAAGUGCUUUCAGUUGGGAAGAAAAAAAUGACGGUACCAACAGAAGAAGUGACGGCUAAAUACGUGCCAGC
rnacentral:rRNA from 1 species